UACGUAGGGGGCAAGCGUUGUCCGGAUUUAUUGGGCGUAAAGAGCGUGUAGGCGGUUUGGUAGGUCCGCUGUGAAAACUCGAGGCUCAACCUCGAGACGCCGGUGGAAACCAUCAGGCUAGAGUCCGGAAGAGGAGAGUGGAAUUCCUGGUGUAGCGGUGAAAUGCGUAGAUAUCGGGAGGAACACCUGUGGCGAAAGCGGCGCACUGGACCAUAACUGACGCUGAUGCUCGAAAGCUAGGGGAGCAAACAGG
rnacentral:rRNA from 1 species